AGUUUCUACUGGGGGAGCCGACAGAGGCUGAGAAUCUCUUGUCUUACGCCAGAGCAAACAAGCUAAUGGUUAGUUGGUAAUAGGGAUGUGGAUCGAUUAACCAAUGGUUUGAUUCUAUGGAAUGUGAGAGGCAGGGAUAACCCCUUGAACCUGAGCUGGAUAAUGCCAGCGUAGGGAAGUAGAGCGAUGGAGCC
rnacentral:ncRNA from 2 species